AUGCCGACGCUCCGCAGCGCCACGCUGAGCCCUGCCCCGGCGGCCACCCCGUCCCCGACGGCCACCACCCCCUCCCCGGCGGCCGCCGGCACCACCCCGAGCAGCGCGGCCAAGCGCCGCAUGACCGCUCGCCGCGCCGCCGAUUCGCCCGAUUCGCCCCAUUUCACCUCCCCCCACAAGUCCCCGCUCGCCGGCACCGGCAAUUUCGGCGCCCCGAAGAUGCUCUCGGCGUCGCCCAAGUCCUCCCGGAAGCGCCUCUACGGCGACCUCGUCCCGGCGGAGAGACCCAAGUGGAACCCAAGAGAUCCGGCGCAGAUGCAGGCGGUCAAGGAGGCGCUGCACGUGGCCACGACGCCCUCGUGCGGCCUGGUUUGCAGGGACGAUGAGCAAAGGCGCGUGUUCGAAUUCUGCAAGGCGUGUGUCCAGCAGGAGAGGGCGGGGAGCCUCUACGUGUGCGGGUGCCCCGGUACAGGGAAGACACUGUCGAUCAGCAAGGUCAAGCAGAGCGUGUCGCGAUGGGCUGAUGAGAUGGGAAUGGAGACGCCUGAUGAUUUGUCAAUCAAUUGCACGAACCUUGGAAACACAUCUGACAUUUUUGGCAAGAUACUUGAAAAAUUCCAGGUUCGGAAAAAGGCAAGUGGCAAAUUGUCACCACUUCAGCAACUGCAGCGUAUGUUUUCUCACAAAGAAUCUGCUCCAAGGAGGAUGCUAUUGGUCGUUGUGGAUGAGAUGGACUACUUGAUAACAAGAGACCGCGCUGUGCUACAUGACCUUUUCAUGCUUACCACCCACCAGUUCUCGAGAUGCAUACUGAUAGGAAUUGCAAAUGCAAUAGACCUAGCAGAUCGGUUUCUUCCAAAGCUUGAAUCCUUAAAUUGCAAGCCACUUGUUAUAACUUUCCGAGCCUAUUCCAAGGAUCAAAUAUCCAACAUAAUUAAUCAUAGGUUAAAGGUUCUUGAGUAUGAUGUCUUUGAGCCAAUGGCGAUAGAAUUUUGUGCUAGGAAAGUAGCUGCAGCCACUGGAGACAUGAGAAAAGCUCUUGGUGUUUGCAGGAGUGCUGUGGAAAUAUUUGAAUCAGGACUACAAGAUUCUUCUGAUAAAGGAGCUGGAGUUGUGACAUUUGACCAUAUGGACAUUGCCUUGUCGAAGGUUUUCAGGCCAGCAGUAGUAAAUAACAUACUGUGCCUUCCCCAACACCAACAGAUGGUGCUGUGUGCACUGGCAAAUACCUUUCAACAUUCCAGGAAAAAGGCUACUACUCUAGGAGAGCUCAACAAAUCAUACAUAGAAAUUUGUAGAUCGACCCAAGUUCCAGCAGUUGGGAUGCUUGAAUUUUCUAACAUGUGCAUGAUUUUGAGCGAUCAGGGAUACUUGAAAUUAGGGCAAUCCAAAGAAGAUAAGCUUAGAAGAGUAAUGCUUCAGAUUGACAUUUCAGAUAUUACUUUUGCAUUUAAGGGUAGCCGAUUCUUUGAGAAGUGCCUUGAGCAACCAAAAUUUUAG
rnacentral:rRNA from 1 species